CCUACGGGAGGCAGCAGUGGGGAAUUUUGGACAAUGGGCGAAAGCCUGAUCCAGCAAUGCCGCGUGCAGGAAGAAGGCCUUCGGGUUGUAAACUGCUUUUGUACGAAACGAAACGGUCUGCUUUAAUACAGUGGGCUAAUGACGGUACCGUAAGAAUAAGCACCGGCUAACUACGUGCCAGCAGCCGCGGUAAUACGUAGGGUGCGAGCGUUAAUCGGAAUUACUGGGCGUAAAGCGUGCGCAGGCGGUUAUAUAAGACAGUUGUGAAAUCCCCGGGCUCAACCUGGGAAUUGCAUCUGUGACUGUAUAGCUAGAGUACGGUAGAGGGGGAUGGAAUUCCGCGUGUAGCAGUGAAAUGCGUAGAUAUGCGGAGGAACACCGAUGGCGAAGGCAAUCCCCUGGACCUGUACUGACGCUCAUGCACGAAAGCGUGGGGAGCAAACAGGAUUAGAUACCCUGGUAGUCCACGCCCUAAACGAUGUCAACUGGUUGUUGGGUGCAUUAGUACUCAGUAACGAAGCUAACGCGUGAAGUUGACCGCCUGGGGAGUACGGCCGCAAGGUUGAAACUUAAAGGAAUUGACGG
rnacentral:rRNA from 1 species